ensembl:lncRNA LINC01679 long intergenic non-protein coding RNA 1679
GUGUGUUUCAGAAGUCCCGGCCCCAGGCAGCUCUCCUGAACAGAGCCACUGGAACUCAGGAGGGUCAGGACCACAGCCCAAACAACUGCGACCGAAAACACCCUACAGGGCUUGAGAACUAAAAAAUAAGGAGGGAUCUGGGCAGCCGAGCUGCCUCCUAAAGAAGCCACGUCAUAGAGAAAACUGCUUGCUCUAUCCAUGAGACGGAGGCGGCCGGGGUGUCCUGCCAGCAGACACGGGUCUGUCCAUCACCGGCCACCACGCUGCCUCUGUCCUUCACUCCCAUUUAAGGGAAAACGAUAUCUCUUCAUCUUUCUGCCCUGGACAUUGGAAAUCAGCGGAAGAGUCUCUCCCUUUUGCAAACGCCAGCCACAGAGGUUUAUUUUUCUCCCUGAGAGAAGGAAGAGUGAAGGCUGAGACUGAGACAGAAGGACAGAAGGAGAAGACUUAGAAGCCAGUGAGCCCGGAACCACGAGACGCGCUCUGAGGACACGGGGCCUCGGGGAAACCGGGCACGGGCAGGGGUUGGUCUUGGCUUCCCCGCAACAUUGCCGCGAGCUCGGGUGCCGUCUCCACUCGCAGGCUGGCCUGUCCUCUGCAGCCACGAGCUCAGGCACCGUCUCCGUUCAUAGGCCAGCCUGUUCUCUGCAGCCUGAGGUCCCUGUGGUGCCAACAUCCAGAUGCUGAGAUAAUUCUGCCAGGGUGUUGGCUGAUCGGUGAUUGGUGGUUGGCUGUUCCGUGAGUUCUGCAUUGAUCUUGCUGGCUGAGCGUCCAAUGCGGAGGGGCAGGUGCUGUUAGGGUCUCCACUCCCAUCCCUCUCCCCAGGACUCAUCACCCACUGCAACCGUAAGCUGCUAGGGGCUCACAGCCGUGAGUCUUUGGGACGGGUGGUCCCACCUGGCAUGUAGCUCAGGCUCCUAGCCCCAGGACCCUGCCGCUGCUCCCCUCCCGCCCACAUCUUGGCUUAGCCGUCUUCCCUGGCUGCCAGCCCCUUCCCCUGGUCUUAGUUGGCUUGAGCCACUAAACUGAAAUAGCACACCCUGAGGCCUUCAACAGCAGACCUGAUUUCUCACCAUCUGGAGGCUGGAGGUCCAGGAUCCAGGCCCCCAAGGCUGCUUUCUCCCCCACUCCCCCACCCACCUUCCAGGACACGCAGACUCCACCCUCUUGCUGCCCUGUCUCAGGGCUGUCCCUCUGGGCAAGCAGGCCCCUGGCAUCCCCGUGUGUCUUCUCCUCCUGUUCUUAUAAGGACACCAGUCAUACUGGAUCUGGGCCCACCCUAGUGACCUCAUUUACCUUAAUCACCUCUGAAAGACCUUGUCUCAAAAACAGCCACAUUCUGGGGCACUGAGGGUUAGGGCUUUAACAUGGGAAUUUGAGGGAUGCAAUUCACCCCAUAAAACCCAGACCAUUCCCCCAGUAAAUCACUUUCACAAGAGCUCUUCUCUCAGGCUUUGCUUCUGGGGGAUCCCCCUUGAGAUGGAUCCAUCUAGCUUCCUGCUUCUCAAAGAACAGAGGGGAGAGCUCUGGUGCGAAGGGAACGGGUGGCCUCGGGGACCUGCGGAUAAGCUGCUGGCACUGCCAGGGGACAGGCUGAGCUGAAAGCCAGGAGGAGGGCGGCGAGGCCCGGGGCCGGACCUCAUUCUUCUGAGUGUUAUAAAAUCUGGCUUUGCUCAGAAA